AGCACUGAGUGUUGUAUGGAAACCAAUUUGACAAUUAAUUUCAUAUUAAAACAAUAAAAAAUAAGAAAUAAUAAAAAAUAAAUGGGACAGACUGAUUCUAAUGUCUAGUGGAAAGAUUGAUAAAUUUGACAGUACAAUAAGAAGAAAUGUCUUCAUGGAAAAACACAUCACAAAUGAAGAGAAAAGAGAAAUGACAAAUUGGGAACAGAGUUUCAAACUCCUAUAACUGAUUUUGCUAAUAUACAGUGACCUCCUACAAAUAAGUAAGCCAGUUGACAACUCAAUGGAAAAAUGGACAAAGAUGAUGAGUGGGCAAUUAGAAGAAAAUACGCAUCGAUUUUAAGCAUAUGAAACAAUUCUCAACCUCACUCAGAAAUUAAAAAAAAAAACAAACAACCUCAGUGUAAAACCAUUUGUCAUCUAUCACAUGGGCAGAGAUCAAAAAGGCUGAUAACAUGCACCACGGGCCAGAUUCUAGGAAAUGGGCUUGCUCUUGCAUUGCACAUGGAAGUGUCAACUGUUACUCCCACUAAAGAGUAAUUUGAAAAGUGCCUCUAAGGUCCUUUGAUCUAGAAAUAUCCCUUUUAGGACUUCCCGAUAGAUAUGCCUUCAUUAAAGCCGAGUAACAGAUGUACAAGAGUAUUCACUGUGGUAUUGUUUUGAAUAUGGAGAAAUGAAAAUCUGUUUAAAUAUCUAUAGACACGGGACUGGUUAAGUAGUGUCCAUGGCAGCAUGCACGGGACAUGAGAUAGAGCUCUAAAACAAUGGGGCAGUGAUAGAUACUGAUGUGCAAAGCCCCCUGAGAUAGAUUCCAUGGAAAAAGCAGAACAAAUCAGUGUGUAAAACAUACUUCAGUUUGUUAAAGACACACAUGUGUGCUGUGCAUUCCUGGAAUAAGGUCCCCUCUUAGAACAGGAACUAGGCAGCAAGAACAGGGAGACUUGUUUUCAUGAGGCGUUCCUUUUGAAUUUUGUACCGUGUGCCUGAUUUGCUGAUUUAAAAAUAUAAGUGACUUUUAAAAAGUCAAAGUAGAUGUGUGAAGAACACAGGCAAAUUGAUUAGAGAUCAAGAAAAUUGUGGCUUUAGAGGUGUCAUCAUGGUUCUCUGAGGUGAGUACGGAAAUGAAACGAGUCAACACUUAAGUGGAACUGUUUUAUGUUGGGUUUUUUUGUGUGUGUGUGUGUGGGGGGGGUUUUGAAAAUCAUUCUGCAAAUUCACUUGAAAUCCACCAGAUGGCACAAGAAAAUACAGUGUGAACAAAACUGGAGUGGUUGGUGCAGGUAACAAAUCAGAGUUGGUGAGGAACCAGAUGGAGGAGAACAAAGGGUCGCUCCAGACUGCGCCCUGACACAUCCAAAUUUUGGUCUAGCCAGGGGCCUCGGGGGCAUGAUAUUGUCGCUUGGCAGACAGGUGAUGCUGGGGAAUAGUCAGGUGGUGCUGAUGAUCAUAAACAUAGAAUUAUCUGUACAUCACAGCUUCAGCAUGAAUGACUUAUUAAACGUUCAUUUUUCAAUGUAGAAUUCUCUUUUUCUUCCCCCCCUCCUUAAUCCAUACUUAAUGCCUUAUGAAAAGAGGUAUUUGUUUCUUGGUAAGCCACGUUUCUUUAAUUAAAGGAGGAGGUUUGGGAGAGGUCUACUGGAAAAGGAGAAAACUCUGGUUUCACAAUAUGCACUAUUUAUGAGGGUGCUUUGCUGUUGAAACCCAUUAGAGGCCAGCCCGGCCCAGUUUGCCUCUUGCCUUCCCAGGAGACAAUUACUGUCCUGCAUAACAAUUUGAAGCAAAUAUCGGAUGUGGUCGAAAGAACAGUUGCGGCCCUCUCUCCGGCAACCGUUUCUGCUUAGAUUUCUUAAUUGUUUCCACCACUUCCUUUCCUUGGCUUGUGGCCUUCUGGGUUCCGUAGGAUCCUGCAUUUUAAUAAAAGCCUCCCGUCCGCUCUGGAAUUCACAUGUGCAAGCAGACACCCCCUGGACCCUGGAGACGCAGCACCUUAGAGCAGAGCUUUCGGCCAAAUUCGUUCGGUGCUUGUGCACUUGUGAGUCUUAUAGAAGCCACACCUUCUUUGCCUUCUGGACCCAUGGGAAGAAGGUAUAGUGGGUCCCAGCUGCCCCUUGCCUUCCUUGUCAACACAGCUUUCCCUCCCCUCCAGGCCCAGCGUUCUGGUUUGUUCUUAGUCUGAUGAGACCAUUGCCAACUCAUCUUCCUUCCGGUCUGUUUCAGUGGUGGCCUUCUGGGAGAUUUUGCAGGGUAAAACGGGACAUCAAAGAAAGGAACUGGGCAGGAUGAUUCUUUAGUGGUGCAGUUUUUAGCACUGAAGUAUCCAGGUAGGGAGAUGUUUGGGGGAUAUCUAGGGUUACCACACUGGAUAAUCCACUUUUUUUUCCCCACUAAAAUGAGAGAGCCCAGCCCUGUUACUGCCACUGCCUCUGACUUGCAGGCAAGAUGCUGGAACAGAAGGCUUUGUGGGGCAGCCUGGACCAGGGGUCAGUGUGCAGGACCAUGAACCAGCAGGGUCUCAUCUCAGCCCUGUGACCUCAGGUUAGGAACAUACUUACUAUCCUGGGCCUUAGUGUCCUCAUCUCUGCCAUGGGGAUGACAGCAUUGGUCAAGCCCUGCUCAAAGAACUGUCAUAAAGAGGAAUAAAAUUGCUUAUUUAAGAGAAUCUCAAGAUUGUAAAUGUUCUGCAUCCAAGGGAUAUCAAAACGGCAACUAAAACCACAGGGGAACCAGCUUAUGUAUUGGGAGGCACAUUGGUCAAAAUAUUACGGCUGUGGUGGCAUGUGUGAAACAGAGAUGCUCAUGGCUUCCACUGCAUGUGAGGUGAGCAGAGCCCACGGCUGAGGCCAUGUGCUGGGCUCUGGGUGGUCGUGCUGUUCCCUCUGACCAGGCUGAAUGCAAGGGAACUCCUUCUGCCAGAGAUAAAGAGCUGCCUUUAGGGAGUUGAGACCUUUUAGUUAAAAUACCAUGCAAAAUGAUGAUAGAGGUGUUACUGCAGUGUUUCUUGUCCAAGCAUGACAAACCAAAAUACAAAACAUGCAUUUCCCUAGUUGUAUUUUUUUUUUUAGGGAGAAGGCAUGUGAACAACCAAGAGGAGCAGAGGGAGAAUUUUUGUUUAUUCUUUUUUUUAAAUUUUAUUUUAUUCAUGUUGAGAGAGAAAGGGAGAGUAGGGCAGGGGCAGAGACAGAAGGAGAGAGAGAGAAUCCCAAACAGGCCACUUACUGUCAGUGCAGAACCCCGCUCAGGGCUCGAACCUUGAGAUCAUGACCUGAAUGGAAGUCAAGAGUCGGACACUUAACCAAAGGAGCCACCCAUGAGUCCCAGGGAGGGAGAGAAUCUUAAGCAAGCUCCAUGCUCAGCACAGAGCCCUACUUGGGGCUCAAUCCCAUCCUCCUAGAAUCACGACCUAAGCCUAAAUCAAGAGUCCGUGCUCAGCUGACUGGGCCACCCAGGCGCCCCUCCCUAGUUGUAUCUUAAAUAGUUCUCAGCCUCUGCCAGUUAUGUACCCCAAUUUCUUUGUUUUUCCAAUGGGCUUAUAAAGGUAGUCAUUAGCAAGUCUGUAACUGCAUAGUCUGCAAAGUCACCAUCUAUGCAAACCAAGUUGCUGUAUUCUUCUACAGUCUGCAGCAGUAUCCUAUUUCCUUUUGUUUCAGAGACCACCCUCACCUUUAGUGAAACAUCGUAUGCCACCUUGCAUGGCUCGGUAGCAGUCUGUAGAAUACAAAGAACUUUCACAGAUAAAAUGGGUUAGCCCACACAAAGCACUCUGCAAUAUAGAUAAUUAUCUGUCUUUUACAGAUGAAGAAACAGGGCUCAAAGGGAUUUGCUAAUUUAUCCAAAGUUGUAGUUUGUAAACUCAAAGCCAAAAUUAGGACUCAGCCCUAUAUUCCAUCCCUCCAUUAACAGCACCGUAUAAGUCCCAAUGGUCCUGGAAACAUGGAGCUUCGUCAUGCUGAAUGGGAGAAAUGACACGUGGCAUCUGUCAUGCAGCAUUUAGUCACGAUUCAUUUGCUGCUCUCAGCUAGCGUUUCUAAAACGUGUUGGCGUAUGUGGCCCUAAGACUCUGGAAAAAAAAAAAGUAAAGAAUCUCCUCUGUGCAAAUACAUGUUAUCACACUUGAGAUGUCUGUUUCACCUUAUUUGACCGCGUAUUUCCCAAGCUUAUUUGGGCACAGACUUUUUUUAUAUAACAUCUAUUAAAAUCCUGCAGAAUUAGUGUGCUGUGCACAAAAUACACUUUUGGAAAAGUGUAUAAAAAUGAUUUGAGGCAAGUUGAGAAAGUCAGAGAAAGUAAUCAGAGGAGAUACAAACUAGUCAAGAAAAAGUAUGUGAGAGCAAAGGGGUCGCCUGGGGGAAGGAUAUUGCACUGGGCGUUGGUGGGCUUGGUUCUGCACUUGUGUGUACUCUGCCUUUUAUAGAUGCUCAGACAUGUCCCUACCCCAUUCUCAGCCUCAAUUUCCCCAACUCUGAAUUGAAGGGGUUUGCCUGGGAGAUCUCUAAAGUUGUUUCUCACACUAAUAGUCAUUUUUCCCCAUGAGAUUCUGGAACUUAACUCCAUGAAAGUUUUUAUUUCAAACUUUUUUCCUUGAUAUAACUUGAAGCUUACAAAAAGUUGUAAAAAUGACACAUAAGUAUUUUCCAUAUAUUCUUUUUCUAGAAUUCAUUCACUGUUCACAUUUUCCCCAUUUAUGUGAUUGUUCUCUCUCUCGUGUUCUUUUUCUGAAUCAUUUGAGGGUAAGUUGGAGACAUCAGGCCACUUUGCCCUUGCAUACUCCAGGGUUAAUUUUCUAAAAAUUAAGACAUUCUCUUAUAUAUGCACAGUAUACUUAUCAAAAUCAGGUACUUAGACUGAUACAAUACUAUUAGGUAAGUCACAGUCAGUAAUCAUAUUUCAUCAAUUUUCCCAAUAAGAUCUUCAUAGCUCUUCUUUUCCCCCUGAUCUCUGCCACCUUCUUCUAGUGGGCAAGGUUAGGUCUAUCUUGAAAUCAUGCAUCCACCUAAAAAAAUGAAAUGAAUGGAUCAUUCUAUUUCCCAUUUCCUCUUGCUUUAGCACUGGGUAAAGUGGUGGAAGAGACAGAGUAGAAUUAUUUGAAAAGUGAUCAGAAAUAAACUUUGGACUUAUAUUGACCUGCACAAGAACAAAUGCCCCAGCGUUGAUUCUGUCUUUGCUGAAAACCAUUGGCAAUUACAAUGAUAAAACAAUGUUUGAUUCAUGAUAAAACAUCAUCACUUUCUGAAAAAAAAAAUGGUCAUUCAUUCUUUUAAUAAAGGAAUUAUUUUCACUGUGGAUACAUAUUUCCUGAGUUUGCAAAUCCUUUUGAAUUACAUCCGGCAGCAUGAAGGCAUGGUGAGACACCCAGUUGGCUAGAGACGGUUUACGUAGGAAAAGAGUGGGAAUCGUGCUGACAAAGCUAGGUUUGGUCCGAGCCUUGAAUACUUAAAUACUUCAUGUAGGAUUUUAUUUUAUUUGUUUUCCCUAGAGAGAAAGAUUUCAUCAUAAUCUUCCAGCACUGUAGGGCAGUGGAAAGAGCACAGACUUUGAAGUCCUAGGGAUCAAAUCUUAGUUUAGUGACUUAUUAGCUGAGUAUGCCCUUUGACCUCUCUGGACCUCAUUUAUAAAAUACAGAUGUUAAUAAUGCAGACUCACAGGUGGUAUUCAAUGUACUCAUGUAUACAGCAUUGGUUUUCCCUCUCCCCACCGCUGCCUCUUUCAUACUCUCAUAUCUUCAAAUACUCUCCUGUAUUGAAUGCUAAAAGUCUAAUAUCAACUCAGGGUUUGAUGUUUACCUGAGACCUAUAACUUGGGGUGGGGGGGUAGUUUGGGAAUAAGAAUAUCAUGAUGCUGUAAAAUACCUCGAUAGUGGUAGUUUUGACAUUUCAGCCUGGAGUUUUAUUGAUUUUUUCCCUCUUAUGUGUAUUUGGUUGCCAUCCACUUUACUCUUUUCCCCAGAUUUCUUCAGUCUGAUUGGAAACCUUAAACAUGACAAUAUGGUUUUACAAUAAAGGGUCCAACUGCAGGUGCUGAGGAAAUGAAGCCAAGGGUCUCUCCCUCCUUUCUUGAGGAGAAAGGCUGGGUCAGGUGCUGGGAGAAAGCUGGUUGGAAAACAUGUAGUUUGGAAACCUUUCUUUUCUUGCUCCAUCUUUUGGAGAAAUUUUUAUUCUCCUUGGAGACCCAUUUGGGAAGAAUUUUGGCUAAAUCAUGUGUCUGUGGGAGACCAUUCUUAUCUGGACCCGGAGCUGAGACUGGAGGCCAAAGGGAAGCACCAUUUCAGGAGCAGUCAAGUGCAUUGUGUCUUUGGCUCUGGAAAAUUAAUUCCAAAAGGCAUGUGUAGCCACUAUUCUCAUCUGUCUUUUAAAAAGCAAAUAGUGGACACAUAGCCAGCAGUAGCCAACAAAUGCCAAAAAUAUCCAAGUCCAUCAUCCCUAGGCACAAGUUAGUUGCUAUAGAGAAAAGCCAACAACUCUUAAACCUUCUUUUUUUUUUUUUUUUUUUUUUUUUGCUACAGGUGGGUGGUAAAAUAAUAAAGAGAGGGGGGUUAGGAACACGAUGAAACAAAAAUGAUAAAUGGAAACCAUUUUCUUUUAAGGGCCUCUCAAAAGAAGCAGUGUUUCUCCAGAGCCACCCCCUGCCCCCAACCGGUAUGGACUUGCUCGACAAUGACUGGCAUUUCCGUUCUCAGAGUGAAGAUGUUACACACUCCUCUGGCUUAAGAGCAUUUGGGCUCUCAACCUCUCCCCUGUCUGCUCACAAAGCUUCAAUAAAAUCCACAUUCCUUGCCAAUGCUUAAUGGAAUAGAUUUGCUGUUUGGGACUAAACCUACCCUGAGUUAGACCUCGAAGUCUCUACAAGACAGUAACAGUGUCUGCCCAUGAGAGGACAGCCAUACAGAGUUUGCAUAUAUAGUAAGUAAAUAUGUAUUAAAUUAAUGUGUUUGUCUUGUCUUCCUAAGAAGAUAUAAUACUCCCCUUUACCUCUAGAUGAUUCGUAGGGAAAUUAUUCAAUGAUAACUUGCUGAUUAAAAGGAAUGGGCUGUAAUUCUAGUGUCUCUUUAACGGAGAAAGGAAAGAAAGUUUCAUAAGCACCUGCUGGGUAUCCUCUUUGUAGCAAAUGUUCACAUUUAAUCUCAUUUAAUCCUUGCAAUCUUGUGAAGCAAAUACUUUUAGUAUUAUUCUAAUGACAAUUACCUUCCUUUUCUAGGUAAGAAAACUAAGGCUCAGUGAACUUAAGUAAUUGCUCAGGUGUGUAUCACUAGGAAGUGACAGAUAAUGGGCCUCUAACCCUGUUUGACACCAAGGGCUUCUUUGAACUAGUCCACGAGCUUCAGUAGGGGGAGGGGGGUCGGGGGAGGGAAGAGACUGCACGGUAUAAAGACAAGCUCCUUGAUGCUAUUAUAUCAUUCAUUUGCCUAUUGUAUAUUAAUUAUGUAGCAAUGAUUGGUGAGUCCUGAGUUUCCUGGAUUUAAUUUUUUUGUAUCUUAUUAUGAAUGAAUUAUAGUUGUGAAAUAUAUCUUUUAAUUUGAAGGACCACCCCCAAAAUCCUCUAUAGUUUGUAUGCCAUGGUAGGUUAAUGGCUUAGCUUUUCUUUGCUACCACAAAGAUAGAAUCUUUUACCCAUUUCUGAUUAUUUCAUUUCUGUAAGUAGAGAGUUGGGGAUGAAACUGGUGUCCAGUUUCUUUCACAAUGAUCUGUCUUUAGAUUUACUGCCCACCUCAAAAAGUUAAAGCCUGCAAUAAUUGUGCAUAUUGAAUAUGUCAUGCCACUGGGUAGCAAAUUAUCGAGCUAUUUUUUGACAAUGCCCUCUUGAAAUAGCAACAUGAAAAACUGAAUUUUUAUUUAAACUUCAAUGACGACAAUAGCUUACUUCUUGUAAGAUGGAGUAUUGGUUAGCAAAUUACAAGCAUGUGAAAUUGGUCACAGGAGAAAGUCACUGUCUAUUGGCAACCAUCCAAGAAUGCAACCACAAGUCACGGCUGUCAUAAGACCAAGCUGCUAUUAUGAUUCCUUAGUGAUAUCUAGUCCAGUAAAAAUGCCAUUUUCAGAAGUCAAUUACCAACAAAGCAGUGGUGGAUUUUGUGGUUGGUUUAUUUGGAAAUUGUUCUUGGGGGUCUUGAGAAAAGAAUCUAACUUCUUCUUCAGCAAUUAGUGUGUUACUACUGAUUCAGGUCACAUUUAGUUUUCUUUUUAAUGUAUAAUGUAUUGGAAUAUGUAUGAAUACCUGUGUUGGCUGAAGACAAAAAAGGUACCUCUCAAGAUAAAUUGGCUAAGAAAAGCAAGUCAAAUCACUUUGUGCAGAUCUGUCUUGUGUAGGUGAAGAUGUUUGUGUUCCUGAGUUUGACCCACCUAUGUUUGCUUAGUUACUGUUUAACAGCUCGCGUCCAGGCCUACACGUGAGCACAGACUCAUCUCUACUGUCGUGCAGACCUCCCUCAGCUUUGCUCAAGUGGUUUAUCAAUCUCAUUUAACAGACACCUAUUACAUGCUGAGCACUGCUUGGGUAAAAUUUGAAUGCAGUAUUGUUUCAAGAAUCUAAGGUUUAGAGACAGUUUUCUUGUAGCUAAAAAUGGAAGGCCUUCUCUUUUCAGUCACAGCCACACUUAGACUUGGGGAUCAGUCACCUUCAGGCAGGCAGGGGUUCUCAUUAGAUCUCUGCCUUCCAGAAGUCAGUGUGAGCCCCUUCAGCCACAGGCUUCUCAAGGUUUGUGCACAUUUCCCAGGGCUUCAAUUCCAUCCUCGUUUCUGGCUCCAACUUUCUCUCUGAAUCCCACUUAAGCUUCUUCCAUGUUUCCAGUGUACAUUAACUACCAGAUAGGUGGUGAUUGACUGAUAUGUUGAGGGUAAAAGUAGUACAUUCUAGGCGUGCCACGGUGGCUCAGUUAGUUGAACGUCUGAAUCCUGACUUUGGUUCAAAUAAUUAUCUGUGGUCAUGGGAUUGAGCCCUGCACUGGGUGUGGAGCUUGCUUAAGA